GAUGAAGAACGCAGCGAAAUGCGAUAAGUAGUGUGAAUUGCAGAAUUCAGUGAAUCAUCGAAUCUUUGAACGCACAUUGCGCCCCUUGGUAUCCCGAGGGGCAUGCCUGUUCGAGCGUCAUUUCACCACUCAAGCCUGGCUUGGUGUUGGGCGACGUCCUCUUUGGGGACGCGCCUCGAAACGCUCGGCGGCGUGGCACCGGCUUUAAGCGUAGCAGAAUCUUUCGCCUUGGAAGUCGGGGCCCCGUCUGCCGGAAGACCUGCUCGCAAGGUUGACCUCGGAUCAGGCAGGGAUACCCGCUGAACUUAAGCAUAUCAAUAAGCGGAGGA
rnacentral:misc_RNA from 1 species